rnacentral:lncRNA from 1 species
GACAACUCUUACCUCCAAGCCGCCAUUCACCCACCCAUAAAAACAGUAAUAAUCGCAUUCUUCACCUCCCAGGAAGCACUGAGGUUGAAGGGCAUAUGAAAUGCUGACAUGGGGAUCACUGAAUUGAGAGCUCCAGAUUACUUCCAGGACGGAGAACAUAUGGACAUGGCAGUAAAGACUUGGCCAUAGAGAUCAUGCAGGGAAGCUGGGGACGUGUGCAAGACCAUAAGGGAGGACAGACUACGACAGGCACCAGACCAGGAGUCUGAGAUAGGAGAUGGAACACCGCUAGCAACUCCAAGAUCACUCACGUUCCAAAAAGGCAAUGGAAGGAAUGCUGACCAAGGAACGCCGGGCAGGCUGAAGGCUGGAGGCAAAGGCUUAACUGAUGGCCACAGAUCUGGGCUUCUACCUUUCGUAAACUCUCUCUGGGUAUGGCCAACCGAGAGAGAGACUGGAG